CGUGCCGCCAGACCUCUUGUCCGGUGACCCAAAUUCAACCAUGUUUUCCACCAUCUUCUCGUAUGGCGUCUUUAUGUCCACUGGACGAGUCGUGGUGAACACAAUUCUCCUCGAGACUCCAGCAUUAUCGACGACAGCAUCUGUUCCGCGCUGUGAUGGUGUCUGCUCCACACGGACCUGGGACUCAACCUCUGGACGGAGUCGGAACAUGACGUGCACCCCGUCCACCUCAACCUUCUUCACCUGGUCCUUGUCUAUGCUCGCCAGGAAGUCGCUGUACGGUACACUGACGUACGUGGUCUGCGGGCGGGGCUCUGAGCCAGGCAACGCGAUCUCCGGUCGAAGCAUGCGUAGCGCGAAUACGGCGAAGCCGAGCUGGAGCAGGAGGAAGCCCAUCUCCCGCCCCUGGACUAUGGGCUCCCAUAGCCAGCGCCCGACGCCACCUCCCUUAGUCAGCCUCCGCCGCCACUUGUUUUCGCCCCUCUUCGACGAGGGCGGCGGCGGCGUCUGGGCGGCGCUCGUGGUGCUCGUGCCGGUGGUGUCGCCCCCCGAGUCCGCAGCCGCGUCGCGGUCGCCGUCCCCGGACGAGGACGACGGCUCGCCGUUACCAGAGGCGCCGUCGCCGCCGUGCUCAACAUUCGCGCGCAUCCCCCGGCGGCGGCGGCGGCGGCAGGUCGCCGCGGGAAGGGGCGUAGGAGCGAGCGGGGACGGGAUGCGAUUGGGAACGAGACGAGGGUUUCCACGGCGGCGGAAGCCAUACGGAGAGGAAGGAGUAGCGUACGGGUUGAGCGAGAAGCAGCACCAGGGACCUCUCCCGACUCCGCCGCCGCCGCCGCGCGCGUGCGCGUGGAGGAGUCGGUGCGGGGGGGUCGGGGUGAGGAAAGAGACGAAGAUGAGGAAGGAAAGAGGCAGAGACGACUGACGAGGCGAAGGGGGAUGGAGGGAGGGAAGGGGGUGACCGUUAGCUGCGU
rnacentral:misc_RNA from 1 species